CGAAAAGUGUUUUGCAUGAAAUUUCUCUCCUCCUAGCUCCAAAUAGGAUAUUAUGAAUCAGGAAACCGAGGUUCAAGGCCACAUACCUAGGCCUACACUGGCUGCAUGGUCCACAAGUACGGUCUUAGGAGUUUGGCGCUUUGGAAUUUAGCCUGCAGCAGAGAUGAAGAGGAGCUUUCUGCAUGAAGAAUUGGACAAUACACAUUCCAGACCUCUCCAGUUCAUUGUGACGGUAAAUGUGAUA
rnacentral:lncRNA from 1 species